rnacentral:rRNA from 1 species
UGCAAGUCGAGCGGUAGCACAGGGGAGCUUGCUCCCUGGGUGACGAGCGGCGGACGGGUGAGUAAUGUCUGGGAAACUGCCUGAUGGAGGGGGAUAACUACUGGAAACGGUAGCUAAUACCGCAUAACGUCGCAAGACCAAAGAGGGGGACCUUCGGGCCUCUUGCCAUCAGAUGUGCCCAGAUGGGAUUAGCUAGUAGGUGGGGUAAUGGCUCACCUAGGCGACGAUCCCUAGCUGGUCUGAGAGGAUGACCAGCCACACUGGAACUGAGACACGGUCCAGACUCCUACGGGAGGCAGCAGUGGGGAAUAUUGCACAAUGGGCGCAAGCCUGAUGCAGCCAUGCCGCGUGUGUGAAGAAGGCCUUCGGGUUGUAAAGCACUUUCAGCGAGGAGGAAGGUGGUGAGCUUAAUACGUUCAUCAAUUGACGUUACUCGCAGAAGAAGCACCGGCUAACUCCGUGCCAGCAGCCGCGGUAAUACGGAGGGUGCAAGCGUUAAUCGGAAUUACUGGGCGUAAAGCGCACGCAGGCGGUUUGUUAAGUCAGAUGUGAAAUCCCCGGGCUCAACCUGGGAACUGCAUUUGAAACUGGCAAGCUAGAGUCUCGUAGAGGGGGGUAGAAUUCCAGGUGUAGCGGUGAAAUGCGUAGAGAUCUGGAGGAAUACCGGUGGCGAAGGCGGCCCCCUGGACGAAGACUGACGCUCAGGUGCGAAAGCGUGGGGAGCAAACAGGAUUAUAUACCCUGGUAGUCCACGCUGUAAACGAUGUCGAUU